rnacentral:rRNA from 1 species
GAGAGUUUGAUCCUGGCUCAGGAUGAACGCUAGCUACAGGCUUAACACAUGCAAGUCGAGGGGCAGCAUGGUCUUAGCUUGCUAAGGCCGAUGGCGACCGGCGCACGGGUGAGUAACGCGUAUCCAACCUGCCUUACACUCUUGGACAGCCUUCUGAAAGGGAGAUUAAUACAAGAUGUUAUCAUGAGUAAGCAUUUUCGCAUGAUUAAAGGUUUACCGGUGUAAGAUGGGGAUGCGUUCCAUUAGAUAGUGGGCGGGGUAACGGCCCACCUAGUCUUCGAUGGAUAGGGGUUCUGAGAGGAAGGUCCCCCACAUUGGAACUGAGACACGGUCCAAACUCCUACGGGAGGCAGCAGUGAGGAAUAUUGGUCAAUGGACGAGAGUCUGAACCAGCCAAGUAGCGUGAAGGAUGAAGGUUCUAUGGAUUGUAAACUUCUUUUAUACGGGAAUAAACGAAUCCACGCGUGGAUUUUUGCAUGUACCGUAUGAAUAAGGAUCGGCUAACUCCGUGCCAGCAGCCGCGGUAAUACGGAGGAUCCGAGCGUUAUCCGGAUUUAUUGGGUUUAAAGGGAGCGUAGAUGGGUUGUUAAGUCAGUUGUGAAAGUUUGCGGCUCAACCGUAAAAUUGCAAUUGAUACUGGCAGUCUUGAGUACAGUUGAGGUAGGCGGAAUUCGUGGUGUAGCGGUGAAAUGCUUAGAUAUCACGAAGAACUCCGAUUGCGAAGGCAGCUUACUAACCUGUAACUGACAUUGAUGCUCGAAAGUGUGGGUAUCAAACAGGAUUAGAUACCCUGGUAGUCCACACGGUAAACGAUGAAUACUCGCUGUAGGCGAUAUACAGUCUGCGGCCAAGCGAAAGCAUUAAGUAUUCCACCUGGGGAGUACGCCGGCAACGGUGAAACUCAAAGGAAUUGACGGGGGCCCGCACAAGCGGAGGAACAUGUGGUUUAAUUCGAUGAUACACGAGGAACCUUACCCGGGCUUAAAUUGCAACCGAAUAUGGCGGAAACGCUAUAGCUAGCAAUAGCGGUUGUGAAGGUGCUGCAUGGUUGUCGUCAGCUCGUGCCGUGAGGUGUCGGCUUAAGUGCCAUAACGAGCGCAACCCUUGCCGAUAGUUACUAACAGGUCAUGCUGAGGACUCUGUCGGGACUGCCAUCGUAAGAUGUGAGGAAGGUGGGGAUGACGUCAAAUCAGCACGGCCCUUACGUCCGGGGCUACACACGUGUUACAAUGGGGGGUACAGAGGGCUGCUACCACGCAAGUGGAUGCCAAUCCCAAAAACCUCUCUCAGUUCGGAUUGAAGUCUGCAACCCGACUUCAUGAAGCUGGAUUCGCUAGUAAUCGCGCAUCAGCCACGGCGCGGUGAAUACGUUCCCGGGCCUUGUACACACCGCCCGUCAAGCCAUGGGAGCCGGGGGUACCUGAAGUGCGUAACCGCAAGGAGCGCCCUAGGGUAAAACUGGUGACUGGGGCUAAGUCGUAACAAGGUAGCCG